rnacentral:rRNA from 1 species
UACGGAGGAUCCGAGCGUUAUCCGGAUUUAUUGGGUUUAAAGGGUGCGUAGGCGGAAUUGUAAGUCAGUGGUGAAAGCCCUUCGCUUAACGAAGGAACUGCCAUUGAUACUGCAAAUCUUGAGUACAUUUGAUGAGGGCGGAAUGUGUCAUGUAGCGGUGAAAUGCUUAGAUAUGACACAGAACACCGAUUGCGAAGGCAGCUCUCAAAACUGUAACUGACGCUGAGGCACGAAAGCGUGG